rnacentral:rRNA from 1 species
UACCAGCUCUUCGAGUGGUGUGGAUGUUUAUUGGGCCUAAAGCAUCCGUAGCUGGCUGGGCAAGUCCCCUGUUAAAUCCACCGAUUUAAUCGUUGGAGUGCGGGGGAUACUGUUCGGCUAGGGGGCGGGAGAGGCAGACGGUAUUUUCGGGGUAGGGGUGAAAUCCUAUAAUCCCGAGAAGACCACCAGUGGCGAAGGCUGUCUGCUAGAACGCGCCCGACGGUGAGGGAUGAAAGCUGGGGGGAGCGAACCGGAUUAGAUACCCGGGUAGUCCCAGCUGUAAACGGUGCAGGCUAGGUGUUUUGGACGGCCACGUGCCGUUCUAGUGCCGCAGGGAAGCCGUUAAGCCUGCCGCCUGGGGAGUACGGCCGCAAGGCUGAAACUUAAAGGAAUUGGGCGGGGGAGCACCACGAAGGGGUGAAGCUUGCGGUUU